ACGCUCGACACCUACGGGAAGCAGCAGUGAGGAAUAUUGGUCAAUGGGCGCAGGCCUGAACCAGCCAAGUAGCGUGAAGGAUGACUGCCCUAUGGGUUGUAAACUUCUUUUAUAUGGGAAUAAAGUUUUCCACGUGUGGAAUUUUGUAUGUACCAUAUGAAUAAGGAUCGGCUAACUCCGUACCAGCAGCCGCGGUAAUCUGAGCGGGCUGGCAAGGC
rnacentral:rRNA from 1 species